rnacentral:misc_RNA from 1 species
CCAGACUCUGAUCUGCUGUCUUGUCUCCGGUUAGAUAUCACUAAUUUGGAAGGCGAGAAUAGCGUUUAGUAUUAUUUCUCAAACGUACCAAGUUUAUAUUUUGUGCUCUUUUAUUGGAAAUUCUCAAUUCUCUUAAUCAGAUAGGUACUGUAGGUUUUGAACUCAAAUUUAUUUGGUUCCUUCAAGGUCUUACAAAGCUGGGCAGCAUCAAGGAGGAUCCCUCACCGAAAAGCGGGCAUGCAUGGAUUUGAAAUGAAGGUGUUGCAGGAUACGAAGGAUUCAGCGAAAAUAAAAUUCUCAACACAAACGUCACAUGAGUCACCAAGUGACCUGCAAAAUAAUGCACCUGAGGCUCUUGGGGUGGACUCUGGUUCAGUUUCUGUUUCAAGCAACAACAGCAGAAAAGUUACCCGUGAAGAUAUUGAAGUUGUCCAGAAUCUGAUUGAAAGAUGUCUUCAACUGUAUAUGAAUAGGAAUGAGGUGGUAAAUACCCUUUUGCAACAAGCCAGAAUUGAGCCUGGUUUUACAACCUUAGUAUGGCAGAAAUUGGAAGAAGAAAAUGCAGAUUUUUUUAAGGCCUACUACAUGAGGCUACUUCUGAAGAAACAAAUUAUUGUGUUCAAUCAAUUACUUGAGCAUCAGUACCAUCUGAUGAAGUCCCCUGCAUCUCCAAAGGUUCCGUUAGCUCCUAUCGAGAAUGGGAUUCAGCACUUGCCCGUUAACAAUCUACCUAUGGGAUACAACAUUCUGCAGCAGCCUUCAAUUCCAUCAACAGGUCAUCCCCACUUCAGUUCUGUGGGAAGUGUACCUAGCUGUCAUGUGGUAAAUGGAAUCCCUGCAUCAGACAAUUUCCAUCCAGUGCAAAUAAAUUCUGGGAAAGAGAUGGUGAUGAAUAGAAGCCCAGCUGACCCAAUACCUGCUGUCCCUGCUAUCAAGUCCGAGAUUGCUUUGAGUCCUACAUCAAUUACAUCCAAUGGUCAAUUUCCUUUCACACCAACAGAAAUACCAGAAUUGAGUGUUAAUGCUUCAGCACUUGACUCUGCGUAUGCAUCUCAUAUGACAAGUCCAGAGGGACUGCAGCUUGGACUUGAUUCUGGUACUGACAAUUCUGGGGAAACCCUCCAACCAUAUUGUCAAGUUCCCUGGAAUUUUAGCUUCUCAGACUUGGCAAAUGUGGCAGAUCAUGGACAGCUGGGAAACUAUUCAGGUUCUGAUAUAUUACUUGAUUCUCCAGAGCAAAGUGACAUCGUUGAGGAGUUCUUUCUUGAUAAUGUUCCUGCCCCAGGCAAUCAAAAAGAGGAAUGAUAGUUAAGAUGUUGCCCUUAUGAUUGCAAGUCCCAGUUAAAUUCAGUACUGCUAGUUCAAGCCACAGGUCCCGUUAGCCCUAUGGGUAGAUCAAUUGUCAAUGGUCAUUCAGCUGUACAGUAGCAUCUUACUGAUGUAAAUUUGAAACCUUAAAAAUUAGGCAGGCAGGAAUUAGUUUAUUGUCAUAAUUGCUAAACUUUACUGACUACAGAAUAUUGCAGGUACGGUUUCUUGUUUUGGUCAAUUUGGAUAAUGUACAUACAACUUUGAACUCCCAACUUUUUUAAUUCGAAAGUUAUUAAAUAAG